rnacentral:rRNA from 1 species
CCUACGUGAGGCUGCAGUGGGGAAUAUUGGACAAUGGGCGAAAGCCUGAUCCAGCCAUGCCGCGUGUGUGAAGAAGGCCUUCGGGUUGUAAAGCACUUUCAGUGGGGAAGAAAGCCUUGGGGCUAAUACCCUCGAGGAAGGACAUCACCCACAGAAGAAGCACCGGCUAACUCCGUGCCAGCAGCCGCGGUAAUACGGAGGGUGCGAGCGUUAAUCGGAAUUACUGGGCGUAAAGCGCGCGUAGGCGGUCUGAUAAGCCGGUUGUGAAAGCCCCGGGCUCAACCUGGGAACGGCAUCCGGAACUGUCAGGCUAGAGUGCAGGAGAGGAAGGUAGAAUUCCCGGUGUAGCGGUGAAAUGCGUAGAGAUCGGGAGGAAUACCAGUGGAGAAGGCGGCCUUCUGGACUGACACUGACGCUGAGGUGCGAAAGCGUGGGUAGCAAACAGGAUUAGAUACCCCAGUAGUC